rnacentral:rRNA from 1 species
AUACGUAGGGAGCGAGCGUUGUCCGGAAUUACUGGGUGUAAAGGGAGCGUAGGCGGGAGUGCAAGUCAGAUGUGAAAUACAUGGGCUCAACCCAUGGGCUGCAUUUGAAACUGCAUUUCUUGAGUGCAGGAGAGGUAAGGGGAAUUCCUGGUGUAGCGGUGAAAUGCGUAGAUAUCAGGAGGAACACCGGUGGCGAAGGCGGCUUACUGGGCUUUUACUGACGCUGAGGCUCGAAAGCGUGGGGAGCAAACAGGAUUAGAUACCCUGGUAGUCCACGCUGUAAACGAUGAUUACUAGGUGUGGGGGGACUGACCCCUUCCGUGCCGCAGUUAACACAAUAAGUAAUCCACCUGGGGAGUACGGCCGCAAGGUUGAAACUCAAAUGAAUUGGCGGGG